CCCUUAGAUGUUCGGGGCCGCACGCGCGCUACACUGAUGGGGUCAGCGUGUUUGCACGUCCUGGUCCGGCAGGAUUGGGCAAUCCGUUGAACCUCCGUCGUGAUUGGGAUCGGAGCUUGUAAUUAUUCUCCGUGAACGAGGAAUUCCCAGUAAGCGCAAGUCAUCAGCUUGCGUUGAUUACGUCCCUGCCCUUUGUACACACCGCCCGUCGCUCCUACCGAUUGGGUGAGCCGAUGAAACUCUCGGAUGUAGGCUAUUCAUAGCCCGCAGAAGAGAUUUGAAUCGUAGCGCUUAGAGGAAGGAGAAGUCGUAACA
rnacentral:rRNA from 1 species